AACUUAUUCGUUUGAUUAAUUAACAUAUUAAUUAAUCCUUGCCAUAAAUAAUUAAACCAUUUAGUUAUUCUUACUCAUCUCCAUUGUUUCUUCAAUCUCCACCUUACACGGUGUACGAUCCAUUAGGUUCCUUUUAGCGAGCCAGUGGGCGAUUAGAACUCUUUCAAAUCGAUUGUGAACUGAAACUUACUUUCAAUUCUCCCUUUAGUGUUUUUACACGUUUAGGGCUUCCACAAACCAAGAGUGACACCUAGCAGCAUAUCAUGGUUACCCA
rnacentral:lncRNA from 1 species